UACGGAGGGUGCGAGCGUUGUCCGGAAUCACUGGGCGUAAAGGGCGCGUAGGCGGCCUGAUAAGUAGGGGGGUGAAAUCCUGCGGCUUAACCGCAGGGCUGCCUUCUAAACUGUCAGGCUGGAGCACAGUAGAGGCAGGUGGAAUUCCUGGUGUAGCGGUGAAAUGCGCAGAUAUCAGGAGGAACACCGGUGGCGAAGGCGGGUCUCUGGGCCGUAACUGACGCUGAGGAGCGAAAGCGUGGGGGAGCGAACAGG
rnacentral:rRNA from 1 species